AACCCUCGCCUCUAGUUGCCAGCAUUCGGUUGGGCACUCUAGAGGGACUGCCGGCGACAAGUCGGAGGAAGUGGGGAAUGACGUCAAAUCAUCAUGCCCCUUAUGACCUGGGCUACACACGUGCUACAAUGGGCGGUACAAAGGGCUGCGAACCCGCGAGGGGGAGCGAAUCCCAAAAGACCGCUCUCAGUUCGGAUUGCAGGCUGCAACUCGCCUGCAUGAAGCCGGAAUCGCUAGUAAUCGCGGAUCAGCAUGCCGCGGUGAAUACCGUUCCCGGGCCUU
rnacentral:rRNA from 1 species